rnacentral:lncRNA from 1 species
ACCUCGCGGGAACCCGGGACCUACCGCUUCGUCCACCUCCCGCGCGCCCCAGGCCCCGGGUUGGGGUGCAGGGGGCGCAGGGGUUGGUCGGGCCAGCGCCGCAGCUCCGGCCCCGGAGUCUCUCCGCCUUCACAAGGAAGCGGAGGGGAUCUGGCUCCGUCCAUUUCCUCAUCCUCUGCGUACCUGCGGACCAGGAAACUCCUGGAUCGAGGCUGGCAUCUUUCCGGCCCAAGCAGGCUCAGCCCAUGGAGAUCUCACAGUGGCAACAUCCUAGGUCCCAGCCUGCGCCGCACCCUCCCCAGGGUUCUAGGCCCUGAUUCUGACCACAUGUCCCCACCUGGAUGCGGCCUGGGCACUCCUGCACCUGCCUGUGGGGUUUGGGCCACCAGCCUGUGUGGCCUUCUCCAUCACCUGCAGCUGCUCCUCUCGGCCAGACAGGACUUUCUUCUGCUGCUGCACGGAGGAGCUUUCCCCAGCACCUGGGCCAGAAUUGGAAUCUCAGCUUCCGGAACCGCCCACUCCACCAUCAGCCAAGCCGGGACCACUCCAUAGUGCCUGGCCCCUGAGCUGUGCCCAUGCUCCUGUGUUGAAGACCUGGUUCCCGUGAGGGACCUGGCCCCUCAUUUGAACUCUCGGCACCUCAUUUCUCUCCUCUGUAAAACGGGGAUAGAAGGCCACCUCCCACAGCCCUGACUGCACAGGACAUCCUGCUCUGGCCUGGCGGGUGGAGGAAACAGUGGCCGAGCGAGAGGCGCUGACCUCCCAGAGUCGGGAAGCCUGGGCCAACCAGGGAAGACUUCCUGGAAGAGGUGACCGGGGCGGAGACCCAGUGAUGCGUCUGCUCCAGGCUAGGGGCUCGGUCCUCUUUUCUGUUUUGACCUCAUGGGGGAUGGAAUUUAGAGCGAUGGGAGCAGAAGCCAGCCUCUGAGCUCAGAGCAUGGCUACUGCUCUCUGCGAGUGGGUCCUGCUGAGGGAUCCUCUGUGGAUUAUCGGAUUAACGUUCAAUGCGUCCACACCAGAGGCUGAGCUAGCAAAGCCGGACAUCUCUAUUUACUCAACUUCUUAAACGCGACGGCCAGUACCCUGACGAUUUGGCCAUGUGAAAACCAAAGAGAAGAGAACCACCAAGCUGUUCUCCACGGAGGCCACACCCUCUAACCUGCUCACCGGCAGCACACGGGGGUUCCUGUCCCGCAGAACCACCAAGCUGUUCUCCACGGAGGCCACACCCUCUAACGUGCUCACCGGCAGCACACGGGGGUUCCUGUCCCUCCACAUCCUCAUCACAGCUUGUUAAGCUACUAAUUUUUAUUUUUUGAGAUGGAGUCUCGCUCUGUCACCCAGGCUGGAGGGCAGUGGCACCAUCUUGGCUCACUGCAACCUCCGCUUCCCGGGUUCAAGCGAUUCUCCUGACUCAGCGUCCUGAGUAGCUGGGAUUAUAGGUGCACGCCACCAUACCUGGCUAAUUUUUGUAUUAUUAGUAGAGAUGGGAUUUUAUCAUGUUGGCCGGGCUGGUCUCAAACUCCUGACCUCAAGUGAUCCGCCCGCCUCAGCCUUCCGAAGUGCUGGGAUGACAGGCAUGAACUACUGUGCCUAGCCUAAUUUUUGUAUUUUUAGUAGAGACAGGGUUUUGCCAUGUUGGUCAGGCUGGUCUCAAACUCCUGACCUCAGGUGAUCUGCCCGCCUCAGCCUCCCAAAGUGCUGGGAUUACAGGCAUGAGCCACCGGGCCUAGCUGCUAUUAAUUUUUAUAUCAGUUUUAUUGUGUUAAACUUAUGUACAAUAAAUGCAUCCAUUUACAGUAUACAAUUUCAGGCUGGAUGCGCUGGCUCACAUCUAUAAUCCCAGCACUUUGCGAGGCCAAGAUGGGUGUAUCGUUUGAGCCCAGGAGUUCAAGACCAGCCUGGGCAACAUAGCGAGACCCCAUCUCUACAAAAAUUAGCCGGGUACAGUGGCACGCACCUGCAGUCCCAGCUACUUAGGUGGAGGUGGGAGGAUCACCUGAGCCCUGGAGGUUGAAGCUACAGUGAGCCGUGAUUGUGCCAUUGCACUCCAGCCUGGGCGACAGAGCAAGACGCUGCCUCCAAAGAAGAAAAUAAAGCAUAUAAUUCAAACAGUCCUGGAAGUUAUACACACCCACGAAUCCAUCACCACAGUCAAGACACAGAGCAUUUUCCUCACCUUCCAGAGACUUCCUAGAGUCUCUGCAGUCUGCUCCUCUCUCCUGCUCUUGUUGAGUAGGAAUCCUUCAUUCUGAUGAAGUUGCCCAGCACAGGCAACCACUGAUCUGCUUCUUGUCAGAAUAGAUUAGCUUGCCUUUUAAAUUUUUAUGUAAGAGGAAUCAUACCUUAUGUACUCUGAGUCUGCCUCUUUCAUUGAGCAUAAUGAUUUUGAAAUUCAUUUAUUUUUUUCGUAUAUGAGAUGGUAUUGCCCUUUUUAUCAUUGGGCAGUACACCAUAGUGUUAAUAUGCCAUACUUUGUUCAUCUAUUGAUGGAAGUGUGUGUGUAUAUAUAUAUAUAUUUUUUUUUUUUAAACCAUUUUUGGCUAUUGUGAAUGGAGCUGCUGUAGAUAUUCAUGCAUAAGUCUUUGUGUGAACACGUUUUCAUUUCUCUCGGGACAUUCCUUAGGAGUGGAAUAGCUAAGUGGCAUGGUUGGGUAUAAGUUUAACUUCUUAAUAAAGUGCCAAACAAAACUGCCUGUAUCCAUUUGCACUCCCACCAGCAGCCUCUGAGAGUUCCAGUUGCUCCACUUCCUUGCCAACACUUGUCAUUGUUGGUCCUUAAUUUAGUCAUUUUAGUGGGUGUGUAAUGCGCAGUGUUGCACUGUGGAUUUCUCACUGCGGAUGGAAUUUGCAUUUCCUUAAUGAGUAAUGUCUAGUGGGUGUGUAGUGAGUGGUAUCUCCUUGUGGAUUUCAUUUGCAUUUAGUGAGCGGUGAUGACGAUGAGCCUCUUUUCACAUUCAGAUUGAUCGUGUGUUGUGUAUUUUUUGAGACAGGGUUUUCACCCAGGGUGUGGUUAUAGCUCACUGCAGCCUCAAACUGGCCUCAAGCUAUCCUCCCACCUCCUCCUCCCAAGUAGAUGGGACUUCAGGCCUGCGUCACCAUGCCUGGCUAGUUUUUAAAUUUUUUGCAGAGAUGGGGUCCCAUUAUGUCACCCAGGUUGGCGUGCAGUGGCGUGGUCAUAGCUCGCUGCAGCCUCAAACUCCUGGGUCAAGUGAUCCUCCCACCUCAGCCUAAAGUGCUGGGACUACAGGCAUGCACCAUCACACCUGGCUUUUGUAUCUUUUUGUGUGUGUGUGCAGUGUCUGUUUAAAUCUUUUGCCCAUUUUUAAAUAACAGCUUUACUGAGAGAUAAUCCACACUAUACAGCUCACCCAUUUACCCAUUGGAAGUACCGUUCGGGCCCAGUGUGGUGGCUGCAGCCUGAAAUCCUAGCAUUGGGAGGUCAAGGUGGGCGGAUCGCCUGAGGUCAGGAGUUCAAGACCAGUCUGAUCAACAUGGUGAAACCCCGUCUCUACUAAAAAUACAAAAAUUAGCUGGGCGUGGUGGCACACGCCUGUAAUCCCAGCACUUUGGGAGGCCAAGGCGGGCUGAUCACUUGAGGUCAGGAGUUUGAGACCAGCCUGGCCAACAUGGUGAAACCCCGUCUCUACUAAAAAUACAAAAAUUAGCCGGGCGUGGUGGCGGGCGCCUGUAAUCCCAGCUACUCCGGUGGCUGAGGCAGAAGAAUCGCUUGAACCUGGGAGGCGGAGCUUGCAGUGAGCCGAGAUCGAGCCACUGCACUCCAUCCUGAGCGACAGAGGGAGACUCAUCUCAAAAAAGAAAAGGAAAGAAACUCCAUACCCCUUAGAAGUCAGUCCUCCUGACUGGUCUCCCUCCCGCGGGUCUUACGAAACCACUCAUCUACUUCCUGUCUCUCUAAAUUGACCCACUCUGGACGUUUCAUCUAAAGGGACUCGUACGACGUGUCCGUGUUUCCAGGCUCAGCCGCGUUGCAGCACAUAUGGCCUGGGUUUUACGGGAUUGUCUGUCUUAUCAUUGAACUGCAAAUGUUCCUUGUCAAUUCUGGGUAUAUGUCAUGCAAAUAUUUCUCUUAUUCUGUGGCUUGGCUCUUUAUUUUCUUCACGGCAUCAUUCAAAGAGCAGCAGUGUCAGUCAUGGUUUCUGCCUUCUUUCUUCCAUCUAACAGGUCUUUGCCUGUUCCAAGCCCACAAACACUUCCUCUUGAAUUUCCUUCUAAUGGUUUUAUAGUUUCAGCCUUUAUACUCAGGCCUAUGGUUGGCUUUGAGUAAAUUUUGCAUAUAAUAUGAGGUAGGAAUCUACGUUCUUUCAAUCACAUAGACACAUAGAUAUGGCCGGGCAUGGUGGCUCAUGCCUGUAAUCCCAGCACUUUGGGAGGCCGAGGUGGGCGGAUCACGAGGUCAGGAGAUCGAGACCAUCCCAGCUAACACGGUGAAACUCCAUCUCUACUUAAAAAAAAAAGCCAGGCAUGGUGGCGGGCGCUUGUAGUUCCAGCUACUCAGGAGGCCGAGGCAGGAGAAUGGCAUGAACCUGGGAGGCGGAGGUUGCAGUGAGCGGAGAUCGCGCCACUGCACUCCAGCCUGGGCGACAGAGCAAGACUCCGUCUCAGAAAAAAAAAAAAUCACACAGAUAUUCUUAUUUUUCUUCUUUCUUUCUUUCUUUUUUUUUUCAGUAGAGACGGGGUUUCAUCAUGUUGGCCAGGAUGGUCUUGAUCUCUUGACCUCAUGAUCCACCUCGGCCUCCCAAAGUGCUGGGAUUACAGGCGUGAGCCACCACGCCUGGGCUUUUUUUUUUUUU